ACAGAUUUUAACAGUAAAAUCAGGAGAAGAAGAUUAUCGUGAUACAUCUCACCUGCUAAGACAGGCCUCACCUUAUAUGGAAAUCAAGUUUAAUAAUGCUGAAGACCCUUCAAAUAUUCCGAACAAAAGGCAAAUCCAGUCUUUGUCUAGAACUGAGCAGCGCAAAAGAAUGAAAUUAACCGGUUCUGAGUCUUGCGUGCGGCACAAAGAAUCUACAAGGUGGAAUUAAGUAGUGGUUCAAAACCGUGUAAUGUUGACACUGCAGAUGGAGAGAGAAACCAUCAGAUUAUGCAGAGUUUUGCUAAAGCUAUAUGGAAUGUUUUGAAGGAUUACAACAAAAAACUAUAGGUAAUCAAGAGUCUCAUACAUUCAAUUCAUGUAGUUAGUUAGGUAAACUGAUUCCUAUCAUCCAGUUCCUAAUUUUGAUGCCCAUUUGUUGAUCAAGCUGAGGCAGUAUUCAUUCUUUACUUUGGUUCCUUUCCUAACUAGCUCAACUUCCAUCAAUUAUAUGUUCAAAAGAAAACCUACUCAUCUAUCUGGUCAUAAGUAGGUGGCGGAUGAUGAAAUCAAUGUAGUCGGAAUCACAUUAAUGUAAAGCAUCCAUUUUCUUGAAUCAAUGUAGGUCCUGUCAUGGAGGAUUUGAAAUGCGUUGCUGUACUACCAUUGUACCAUAUAUAUGUUAAUGUUAUUCAUUUUGAACCUCCCUACCUUGGAUUUGCUUUAUUCUGAAUCUUUCAACCUGCUUCACUUCUCCAAUUGUUUCUCUAGCUUGUCUUGAACAAAUCUCAAAAACCUUUGUUCUUAUCUUUUUAAGAGAAAAUUUGCAUUGCUUCUGUGUUAUCAUGUAAAGUUGGAAUAGAUAUCUAGAAGGGAAAUUUGUAAUGUUUUUGUCUGUUUCUCCUUUGGUUAUUGUCACAGUGGUCCAGGCAGAGCUGGUAUAUGCACCACACCAUUGCAUUCCCACUUGGUUAAUGAGGGUUUUGCUAAACUGUAGCAUCUUCCAUAUAACAGGAAAGUGACUAAACUGUAUUCCAGGUUGCAGAUGAACUUGUAGCAGAGUUUUCUGACCCUAUCAAUGGUGUCACAUCCCCUGAUCAAAUUGACGAGGUGCGCAUUGAAGUGGCUGAUUAUAUACAGAGUUUGAUGUAGAAAUGUGACUGCCAAGAUGUUUUUUGAGUAAGGCUAGCUAGUUUUGGCUUUGAAGCAAAGCUUGGUGUGGAGCUUUUGUACAUUGUUGCUCAUAUGUUUCCAAGCUAGCUUUUGUAAGUUUAGGGGUUUAUUUUGUGAAUUAUGUUGAAUCAUGAAAUUUGGAAAGAAAAUUAAUGGGAAAGCCCCUUAUUUUGGAUGAUGAGAAAUGCAAUUUUUUUCCCAGCAAUAGCUAAAUGCAAACUUUUCACAUCAUGCUUGUCAAAAUAAAGUGAAGUAUAUUAAAGUAUAAUAAAACAGUAAUGCCAAGGAAAACGAAGUCAGUUGAGAGAUUAGAAAUCAAUAUCAAAAAUGAAAUCGAUGUGCUAUGAUUAUCAAUAUAUCGAAUUGUAACUCAAAACCGAUGUAAUCAAAACUACUGCACAUCGAUUUCUAAUCACCAAACCGUAAUCUAUUAUGAACAUACAAAUCACCUACCAUGGAGCAAACUGAUGUGUGGUCAAAAGGUGAACAUCAUUUCUGAAUAAAAAAACGAUGUAGAAUAAAGAUACAGACAUCGUUCCUAAGAAAAUAAUGUGGCAACCUACAUGUAAAAAUGGCCACGAACAAACAAUACUCAUGGGAACUGAUGUCUACAAGUGUACUGGACAUCGCUUCUGGAAUAGAAAUCGAUGCAAAUGUUCACGUAGGUAUUGUUCGACAUAUACUUUAUUAAGCAUAAAAUGUGAAAAUAUGAAGAAUUAGACAUACCUAACAUACAAAAAUAUGAUGAUUAUAACGAUUAUACAUCGAUUUGUUUUUUAGAAUCGAUGUUGGUUGUUGUCUGGGACAUCGGUUGAAAACGCGCUUAUACUGAUGUCUAUACUUUUCUCUACACCCACUAAGACAUCGGUCGAAAAUUAGUUUAACAUCGGUCCAGA